rnacentral:rRNA from 1 species
ACGGAAGGCAGCAGUGGGGAAUAUUGGACAAUGGACGAAAGUCUGAUCCAGCGACGCCGCGUGAAGGAAGAAGGUUUUCGGAUUGUAAACUUCAGUGAGCAGGGACGUUAGUGACGAUACCUGCAUAGCAAGCCACUGCUAACUACGUGCCAGCAGCCGCGAUAAUACGUAGGUGGCACGCGUUAUCCGGAAUUACUGGGUGUAAAGGGUGAGUAGGCGGGAAGGCAAGUCAGAUGUGAAAUGCAGGAGCUCAAAUUCUGAGCUGCAUUUGAAACUGUUUUUCUUGAGAGUCGGAGGGGUUAUCGGAAUUCCCAGGUUAGCGGUGAAAUGCGCAGAGUUUGGGAGGAACACCAGUGGCGAAGGCGGAUUACUGGACGACAACUGACGCUGAGACACGAAAGCGUGGGGAGCAAACAGGAUUAGAUACCCUGGUA